rnacentral:rRNA from 1 species
AUUGAACGCUGGCGGCAUGCCUUACACAUGCAAGUCGAACGGCAGCACGGGUGCUUGCACCUGGUGGCGAGUGGCGAACGGGUGAGUAAUACAUCGGAACACGUCCUGUAGUGGGGGAUAGCCCGGCGAAAGCCGGAUUAAGACCGCAUACGAUCUACGGAUGAAAGCGGGGGACCGUCGGGCCUCGCGCUAUAGGGUUGGCCGAUGGCUGAUUAGCUAGUGGGUGGGGUAAAGGCCUACCAAGGCGACGAGCAGUAGCUGGUCUGAGAGGACGACCAGCCACACUGGGACUGAGACACGGCCCAGACUCCUACGGGAGGCAGCAGUGGGGAAUUUUGGACAAUGGGCGAAAGCCUGAUCCAGCAAUGCCGCGUGUGUGAAGAAGGCCUUCGGGUUGUAAAGCACUUUUGUCCGGAAAGAAAACCUUGGCCCUAAUACGGUCGGGGGAUGACGGUACCGGAAGAAUAAGCACCGGCUAACUACGUG